rnacentral:rRNA from 1 species
GAUGAACGCUGGCGGCGUGCCUAACACAUGCAAGUCGAGCGUGAACCCUGCGAAUGAAACUUCGGUCGAUUUUGCAGGGGGAAAGCGGCGGACGGGUGAGUAACGCGUAGGUAACCUGCCCCAUACUGAGGGAUAGCCUCGGGAAACCGGGAUUAAUACCUCAUAACACCGUAUAUUCGCAUGGAUGUGCGGUCAAAGAUUUAUCGGUAUGGGAUGGGCCUGCGUCUGAUUAGCUGGUUGGUGGGUAACGGCCUACCAAGGCGACGAUCAGUAGCCGACCUGAGAGGGUGAUCGGCCACAUUGGAACUGAGACACGGUCCAAACUCCUACGGGAGGCAGCAGUGGGGAAUAUUGCACAAUGGGCGAAAGCCUGAUGCAGCAACGCCGCGUGAGCGAAGAAGGCCUUUGGGUCGUAAAGCUCUGUCGGGUAGGAAGAUAAUGACGGUACUACCCGAGGAAGCCCCGGCUAACUACGUGCCAGCAGCCGCGGUAAUAGUACUCUA